GAGAGAGAGAGAGAGAGAGAGAGUAUUAGUUCUACGUUCCAUAGAAAUAAGAUGUGACAUAUUUAAUGAAAUUUAUAUAUCAGCUGAAAAUUUUAUAUCAUUUUUCUAUUUUAGCGUAUAUAUAUUGCUUUAUGUACGUAGGAUCUUCGUAUGUGUUAGAUGUGACUCGAAAUCUACUAUCGAUUCAGGUUCGGGUUUACGACUCUCCGACAGCUUUGCGGUGCGAAUUUGGAAAAGAAAAUUAUGAAGGAAAAAUAAAUGUCUGUGGUGGGUAGCGGAGGGCUCGGGCCCGUUAUGAGUUUUCCUUUUCGUUUAUCGUUUAUGCCCUAGAGGCGUGUGAUCGUGGUUGGUUGUAACAUGAAGAACAUUGUAUUCCCUUUUUCGUUCCAUAGUGAAGUCCUCUCCUCCCUCGCCCGUGGUUUUUCCCUGCAAAAGGAUUUUUCACGUAAAUCUAUGUCUUUUUAUUUUUCUGCUUAUGGUUUGAUUGUUUUUUUGUGUUCGUCAUUUCGUUUCCGUUUGUACGUUUGUCGUAACAGUAUGUAUAUCAAUAAUAGAAUAUCUCUAUAUAUUGCAGCUAUAUAUAAUGCCUAAUAUAU
rnacentral:lncRNA from 1 species